UUCCUGGUAGCUUAGCUGUUAAAGAAUCUACCUGCGAUGCAGGAGAUCCUGGUUCGAUCCCUGGUUUGGGAA
rnacentral:tRNA from 1 species